UCUGUUUAGACAUAGCAUCAGUGAUGCAGAUCCAGCGAGAGCUGAUUCUACUGCCUGAACCAAAGUAAAAGGAUUCAAAUGAAUAUCCCUCAAAGAGCUUUAGAGGGUCAUUUUCAUCUUCAGCACCAUCCCAGCACUCAUCUGCCAAGAUGCUUUGGAAUUUCUGCGGCCAUCAGGCAUGUGCGAACCCUUGGACAUCUGCACAUGCGGGGCUGAUGUUCAGCAGACCCACACCGGCACUGCCAUGCUUACGACAAAGCCCACUGUGAUGGUUGGAGGCUCUGUUGGGAACUCUCCCACCCAUGUAAUGCCGGCUGCUAGAUAUUGAAAGGGAAGUUUCUGACAAAUGUGUCCACAUUUUAGAAACUUAAUUAGAUGAGCACCAAGGCUCAUGAUGGCCCUGGAGGAUGGAGUCAUAAAAGCUGCUCUUCACUGCUGCUG